rnacentral:rRNA from 1 species
AUUGAACGCUGGCGGUAUGCUUAACACAUGCAAGUCGAACGGGAGUAGGGGGCAACCCUUACUCUAGUGGCGGACGGGUGAGUAAUGCGUAGGAAUCUACCUUGAAGUGGGGGAUAACUCGGGGAAACUCGAGCUAAUACCGCAUAUGUUCUACGGAGCAAAGGGGGCGAAAGCUCUCGCUUUAAGAUGAGCCUACGUCGGAUUAGCUAGUUGGUGGGGUAAAGGCCCACCAAGGCGACGAUCCGUAGCUGGUCUGAGAGGAUGAUCAGCCACACUGGGACUGAGAUACGGCCCAGACUCCUACGGGAGGCAGCAGUGGGGAAUAUUGGACAAUGGGCGAAAGCCUGAUCCAGCAAUACCGCGUGUGUGAAGAAGGCCUUCGGGUUGUAAAGCACUUUCAGUAGGGAAGAAAAGUUCAGGGCUAAUACCUCUGAGCAUUGACGUUACCUACAGAAGAAGCACCGGCUAACUCUGUGCCAGCAGCCGCGGUAA